GCCAGCAGCCAUAUCACCCUGCAAACCACUGAAGCUCAGCAGGUGUGAGCCAGGUCAGUACCUGGAUGGGAGACCUCCUGGGAAAACCCAAGGUUGCUGCUGGAA
rnacentral:rRNA from 1 species